rnacentral:rRNA from 1 species
GACGAACGCUGGCGGCGUGCUUAACACAUGCAAGUCGAACGGAAAGGCCCUGCUUUUGUGGGGUGCUCGAGUGGCGAACGGGUGAGUAACACGUGAGUAACCUGCCCUUGACUUUGGUAUAACUUCAGGAAACUGGGGCUAAUACCUGAUAGGAGCUCCUGCUGCAUGGUGGGGGUCGGAAAGUUUCGGCGGUUGGGGAUGGACUCGCGGCUUAUCAGCUUGUUGGUGGGGUAGUGGCUUACCAAGGCUUUGACGGGUAGCCGGCCUGAGAGGGUGACCGGCAAGUGGGGCACAAGGACGCGGCCGAGACACCAACGGGAGGGAGAGGUGGGGAAGAUUGCAAGAGGGGUGGAAGCGUGACGCGGAAGCGCCGGGGGCGAGGAGGGGGCUUUGGGGUUGAAACCCCCUUUCCCGGGGGAAGACGGAUGGGGGACGGACAUGGGUAAAAAAGAACCGCCAAAAGACGU